GCGAUGGAAGCUUGCUUCUAUCAAUCUUAGUGGCGAACGGGUGAGUAACGCGUAAUCAACCUGCCCUUCAGAGGGGGACAACAGUUGGAAACGACUGCUAAUACCGCAUACGAUCUAAUCUCGGCAUCGAGGAUAGAUGAAAGGUGGCCUCUACAUGUAAGCUAUCACUGAAGGAGGGGAUUGCGUCUGAUUAGCUAGUUGGAGGGGUAACGGCCCACCAAGGCGAUGAUCAGUAGCCGGUCUGAGAGGAUGAACGGCCACAUUGGGACUGAGACACGGCCCAGACUCCUACGGGAGGCAGCAGUGGGGAAUCUUCCGCAAUGGACGAAAGUCUGACGGAGCAACGCCGCGUGAGUGAUGACGGCCUUCGGGUUGUAAAGCUCUGUUAAUCGGGACGAAAGGCCUUCUUGCGAAUAGUGAGAAGGAUUGACGGUACCGGAAUAGAAAGCCACGGCUAACUAC
rnacentral:rRNA from 1 species